rnacentral:rRNA from 1 species
UUAAAUUGAAGAGUUUGAUCAUGGCUCAGAUUGAACGCUGGCGGCAGGCCUAACACAUGCAAGUCGAACGGUAACAGGAAGCAGCUUGCUGCUUCGCUGACGAGUGGCGGACGGGUGAGUAAUGUCUGGGAAACUGCCUGAUGGAGGGGGAUAACUACUGGAAACGGUGGCUAAUACCGCAUAACGUCGCAAGACCAAAGAGGGGGACCUUCGGGCCUCUUGCCAUCAGAUGUGCCCAGAUGGGAUUAGCUUGUUGGUGAGGUAACGGUUCACCAAGGCGACGAUCCCUAGCUGGUCUGAGAGGAUGACCAGCCAACCUGGAACUGAGACACGGGCCA